rnacentral:rRNA from 1 species
UAGGGAAAGUUUUUCGGUGUAGGAUGAGACUAUAUAGUAUCAGCUAGUUGGUAAGGUAAUGGCUUACCAAGGCUAUGACGCUUAACUGGUCUGAGAGGAUGAUCAGUCACACUGGAACUGAGACACGGUCCAGACUCCUACGGGAGGCAGCAGUAGGGAAUAUUGCGCAAUGGGGGAAACCCUGACGCAGCAACGCCGCGUGGAGGAUGACACUUUUCGGAGCGUAAACUCCUUUUCUUAGGGAAGAAUUCUGACGGUACCUAAGGAAUAAGCACCGGCUAACUCCGUGCCAGCAGCCGCGGUAAUACGGAGGGUGCAAGCGUUACUCGGAAUCACUGGGCGUAAAGGGCGCGUAGGCGGAUUAUCAAGUCUCUUGUGAAAUCUAAUGGCUUAACCAUUAAACUGCUUGGGAAACUGAUAGUCUAGAGUGAGGGAGAGGCAGAUGGAAUUGGUGGUGUAGGGGUAAAAUCCGUAGAUAUCACCAAGAAUACCCAUUGCGAAGGCGAUCUGCUGGAACUCAACUGACGCUAAGGCGCGAAAGCGUGGGGAGCAAACAGGAUUAGAUACCCUGGUAGUCCACGCCCUAAACGAUGUACACUAGUUGUUGGGGUGCUAGUCAUCUCAGUAAUGCAGCUAACGCAUUAAGUGUACCGCCUGGGGAGUACGGUCGCAAGAUUAAAACUCAAAGGAAUAGACGGGGACCCGCACAAGCGGUGGAGCAUGUGGUUUAAUUCGAAGAUACGCGAAGAACCUUACCUGGGCUUGAUAUCCUAAGAACCUCUUAGAGAUAAGAGGGUGCUAGCUUGCUAGAACUUAGAGACAGGUGCUGCACGGCUGUCGUCAGCUCGUGUCGUGAGAUGUUGGGUUAAGUCCCGCAACGAGCGCAACCCACGUAUUUAGUUGCUAACGGUUCGGCCGAGCACUCUAAAUAGACUGCCUUCGUAAGGAGGAGGAAGGUGUGGACGACGUCAAGUCAUCAUGGCCCUUAUGCCCAGGGCGACACACGUGCUACAAUGGCAUAUACAAUGAGACGCAAUACCGCGAGGUGGAGCAAAUCUAUAAAAUAUGUCCCAGUUCGGAUUGUUCUCUGCAACUCGAGAGCAUGAAGCCGGAAUCGCUAGUAAUCGUAGAUCAGCCAUGCUACGGUGAAUACGUUCCCGGGUCUUGUACUCACCGCCCGUCACACCAUGGGAGUUGAUUUCACUCGAAGCCGGAAUACUAAACUAGUUACCGUCCACAGUGGAAUCAGCGACUGGGGUGAAGUCGUAACAAGGUAACCGUAGGAGAACCUGCGGUUGGAUCACCUCCUUUCUA